ensembl:lncRNA
AUUGAUGCAUCUAGGGAAGAUGGAUCGUUUGGGCGGUUAGUUAACGAUGACCACCAACAUCCAAAUUGUAAGAUGAAGAAAAUUGAUGUGAAUGGAAAGGCACACCUGUGUUUAUUUGCGCUGAAAGACAUUAAAGAAGGAGAAGAAAUCACAUACGAUUAUGGGGGAGACGACUGCCCAUGGAGAACCCAAGAGAGCAGCAUUGCUGCUAAUAGCAGAGCAGCAGGUGACUCUGAUCCUUCUCUCCAGUCUCAGACUCAGAUGGAUGAUGCUUCUGGUCAAACCAAGUCUCCUC